AUUUAUAUUUCUAAUGAUAAUUUACUUGGGCAUAUCCAUCACACUUCUCUGUUACUAUUAAACUUACUACCAUCAUGCAAGUAAAAUCUCUUGGGAAAAAUAAAUGUUGUUCCAGGAUGGUCAUAAAAUAACAGCCAGUAAAACUAAUGCAUGAAUAUACUGUACCUAUAAUCAUGUACAUAUUACUAUCAUACUAGAAAAUACAUGCAUGCAGAAACCCUCGCCUUGCUGACAAAACCAUUGUAUUUUACGAAAAUUAAGUAUCUAAAGUAGUUGCCAUGGUAACACGAUAAUUUUUAAG